rnacentral:lncRNA from 1 species
CCAGGGUGAAGGAUGGUGGGUGUUGUCGUCCAAACAUAUCUCCAGGUCUUUCUCGCCCAUCUUCAAUAGUGAUGAAAUAGAAAUAGUUCCUAAUUUGAACUUCCUGACUAGAAAUAGUUCCUAAUUUGCAUUUAGAGGUGAAGAGUAGCACAUGCAACUGUAUGUAUGUAUGUAUGUAUGUAUGUAUGUAUGUAUGUAUGUAUGUAUGUAUAUGGAGGUGUAUGUGUAUGUGAAGAGUAGCACAUGCAACUGAAUGUAUGUAUGUAUGUAUGUAUGUAUGUAUGUAUGUAUGUAUGUAUGUAUAUGGAGGUGUAUGUGUAUGUGAAGAGUAGCACAUGCAACUGAAUGUAUGUAUGUAUGUAUGUAUGUAUGAAUGUAUGUAUGUAUGUAUGUAUAUGGAGGUGUAUGUGUAUGUGUAUAUUAAUCUCAGUCCUUGGUUUUGGCGUUUUGGCCUUCCAGUGCGGGAGGGGGCUGGGUUGACGGCCUUUCGCGGUCCCCGCUUGGAGGGCGUCGGCAUUGCUCGACGACGCCCCGGUCGUCCCUUCCCCUUGGUUGCUUCAGCGAAGGGGUUAAGGGGCAGAGCCUUUUCUUUUGCGCCUAGAGAGGAGGCAGGGAAAGGGGGCUGGGAAUCCAGCUUCCUUCCCGCUCCCUCUUUCUGCUCUCCCGACGUCUUUGAAGCCAGGCCUGCGGGGAUCCCUCUCGGGGAGAGCGCCAGAAUUCUUCAUUGGUCAAGCGUGAUUGGACACACAAGAAAUUUGUCUUGGUGCAAGGUGCUCUCUGUACAUAAAAGAAAAGAUACAUUCGUCAAGAGUCGAGAAUCAUCAGAAAAAGAGGAUGCCAAUAAGAGCACUCUGGACAACUGGGAAUAACAAGCAACUUUGAAAAGGAAAUGAAAUCACGCUAGAAAUUAAAAUAUUUUCCAUUUCCUCCAGAAACCACACAAUUCUUCUUACCCGGUAGGUGAGAGACAAAGGAGAGAACAUUAAGAAGAGAUUUUGAGCUGGAAAAUGUGGAGUAUGCGGAACUCAAAGAUACAUUUCAUGAAAAGUCAAAGGAGAUUAUUUUUCCAUUCAGAAAAAGAGGGCAGUAUCUGGAAGUCACAGGGAAAGGUCAAUUGAACAGCCACAUAGGGCAUACAGUAAUGCAAAUCUUGUCCUGUAAGGAAGGGAACAAUAGCCACAAUCAAACCACCAUUAAACAAGAUAUCACAAAUGAUGGAAAAGUUCCACUGAUACUCAUAUUGUGGGAAAAGUACAGACUUCAAAC